rnacentral:rRNA from 1 species
UACAGAGGUGGCAAGCGUUGUUCGGAAUUACUGGGCGUAAAGGGCGCGUAGGCGGCCUUCUAAGUCAGACGUGAAAUCCCUCGGCUCAACUGAGGAAGUGCAUCCGAAACUGGCAGGCUUGAGUACUAAAGAGGGUCGCGGAAUUCCCGGUGUAGAGGUGAAAUUCGUAGAUAUCGGGAGGAACACCGGUGGCGAAGGCGGCGACCUGGGUAGAUACUGACGCUGAGGUGCGAAAGCGUGGGGAGCAAACAGG